rnacentral:rRNA from 1 species
UACGAAGGGUGCAAACGUUGCUCGGAAUUAUUGGGCGUAAAGCGCACGUAGGCGGCAUCGCAAGUCGGAUGUGAAAUCUUAUGGCUUAACCAUAAAAGUGCAUCCGAAACUGCAGUGCUUGAGUACUUAAGAGGAUCGCGGAAUUCCCGGUGUAGAGGUGAAAUUCGUAGAUAUCGGGAGGAACACCAGUGGCGAAGGCGGCGUUCUGGACUGUUACUGACACUGAGGAACGAAAGCCAGGGGAGCAAACGGG